CACGUGAAAAGGAUUGGUAAUUUUUAACAAGAUGUUUUGUCUCUUCCAGUUGUACCAAAAAGUGCAUAAGGGGUGGAUGUUACUUAACCAUCAUUUCAAUCCUGGGGACAUGGAGUCAUUGCUAACCAGGGCCGGUCACUGUUAGCCAAAACAAGACUUCAUAGGUGCAUAUCAGAGAGCAGGUUCGGCUUCCUGGCAGUGCCAUCGACCUCCCAUCGACUGACCAGAGUCUCGGGCUCGGCAUUCUGGCGCCGCCGAACAUGCUGACCGACGCGGCGUGGGUGGGGUGCAGCUUCCGAGCGACGCCGAGCGGGCCACCCGGCACAGCGGGAGCUGACCCCCCUGACACCCCGCUGAGAAACAGAGGCCCGCUUCCUCGGCCUUCGGACCGGGUGCUAACGAACGAUGGAGACAAGUGGAGACGUUUGGGUCGCGGCGUAUGAUCGGGACAGCUGCCUGUUCCUGCGUUCUUCUGGGAAACGGGACGAGAGGGAUGCUUGGACCGGGGUGUGACCAUGUGGGAGGUCUGCGUCCCGGGAGACUGCAGUGACGUCCCGUGGUGACGAAAGUUGUAUGCUAUAUGCCCCGUCGGAGGUGCGUCAGCCUGUGACCAACUGGGAAAGCAGAUGCAGCUCGCCUCGGAAGAAUUGCCUCAUUAGCAUGCACGAGCUACUUCAAAGCCUGAGACUGGAGGACAAAUAAACGAGCCUGCGGGUGGAAUGCAUGUUCACAA
rnacentral:lncRNA from 1 species